rnacentral:siRNA from 1 species
UCGCUUUGAGGUCAUUUU